UAUACAAACACACACUGCAUUAUAUACACACACACUAUACAAACACACUGUGUAUAUAAUGCAGUGUGUGUGUUUGUA